rnacentral:rRNA from 1 species
AUUGAACGCUGGCGGCAGGCCUAACACAUGCAAGUCGAGCGAGCGGCGGACGGGUGAGUAAUGUCUGUGAAACUGCCUGAUGGAGGGGGAUAACUACUGGAAACGGUAGCUAAUACCGCAUACCAUCAGAUGUGCCCAGAUGGGAUUAGCUAGUAGGGGGGGGAACGGCUCACCUAGGCGACGAUCCCUAGCUGGUCUGAGAGGAUGACAAGCCACACUGGAACUGAGACACGGUCCAGACUCCUACGGGAGGCAGCAGGGGGGAAUAGUGCAAAAUGGGCGCAAGCCUGAGGCAGCCAUGCCGCGUGUGUGAAGAAGGCCUUCGGGUUGUAAAGCACUUUCAGCGGGGAGGCGUUACCCGCAGAAGAAGCACCGGCUAACUCCGUGCCAGCAGCCGCGGUAAUAC